AGCAGCCGCGGUAAUUCCAGCUCCAAUAGCGUAUAUUAAGGUUGUUGCAGUUAAAAAGCUCGUAGUUGAAUUUCGGGGUCAGUAGGCUGGUCAUGCCACAGGUAUGUACUGGUCUCACUGAUUCCUCCUUCCUGAUGAACCGUAAUGCCAUUAAUUUGGUGUUGCGGGGAAACUGGACUGUUACUUUGAAAAAAUUAGAGUGUUUAAAGCAGGCUAACGCUUGAAUACAUUAGCAUGGAAUAAUGAAAUAGGACGUUCGAUCCUAUUUGUUGGUUUCUAGGAUUGACAUAAUGAUUAAUAGGGAUAGUUGGGGGCAUUAGUAUUCAGUUGUCAGAGGUGAAAUUCUUGGAUUUAUUGAAGACUAACUACUGCGAAAGCAUUUGCCAAGGAUGUUUUCAUUAAUCAAGAACGAAAGUUAGGGGAUCGAAGACGAUCAGAUACCGUCGUAGUCUUAACCAUAAACUAUGCCGACUAGGGAUCGGACGAUGUUUAAUUUUUAAUGUACUCGUUCGGCGUACCG
rnacentral:rRNA from 1 species